CAAAGUUGGAUCAUAUCCUAUAAGCAUUAGAAGGAAACCUUAAGGCACGUUGAAGCAGGGGACGCAAACACGUUCAAUGUAGGGGAGACUUUGACACUGCAGAUUCAACUUUAUCGAGUGUAAUCGCCACAAAUUGGAGACACGUAGUUGCAUGGUUAAACUGGUUGAGAAGAGAGGCAUUCCAUAUUUGAACUUAUUCUCUCCAACUUGAGCAGAGAAACGAAGCACCGAAUCCCCAAAUCGCACUGCAAUUCUGAAAUGAGAAAUGGAGAAAAUGAAAAUCAAUUUGAAAAAAUAAACAGGGCAAAACGAAAACGAACACCGAAUAGGAAAAAAGCAGAGUGAAGAGGAGAAUCAAUUCAGACAUGAACAUCAGAAAUGUUGAAUAUCCACCAUGAGAAGAAUUGUGUGCCUUCGAAAACUGAUUUUCUAGGGCACGAGCAGAGCGUAGUGUGUAAAAAACGCGAGAGGGGAGCCAACGGAGACAUCUUCGGAAAGAGGUUCUAAAAGUGUGGUUUGCGAGGAGGAUGAGGAUUGAGAAGACAUUGGAG
rnacentral:lncRNA from 1 species